rnacentral:rRNA from 1 species
AACAAAUCACAUGGUCUUGAACCGGUGAUGUUUCAUUCAAAUUUCUGCCCUAUCAACUAGAUGGUAGUAUAUAGGACUACCAUGGUUGUAACGGGUAACGGAGGAUUAGGGUUUGAUUCCGGAGAAGGAGCAUGAGAAACGGCUACUAUUUCUAAGGAAAGCAGCAGGCGCGCAAAUUAUUCAAUGGAAACAAUUUUCCGAAAUAGUGACAAAAAUAUCAAUGCUGAGUACAAUGUAUUUAGUAAUUGGAAUGAGUACAAUUUAAAUCCCUUAACAAGUAACAAUUAGAGGGCAAGUCUGGUGCCAGCAGCCGCGGUAAUUCCAGCUCUAAUAGCGUAUAUUAAUAUUGUUGCAGUUAAAAAGCUCGUAGUUGAAAUUUGGGACUUUAUUGUAUUGGUUUAUUUUGAUGAACUGUAUAAUGGGUUUCUUCCUACUAGAGUUCGAUUCUGUUCUUAAUUGAAUGGAGUAGCUAUCUUUCGGGGUGGU